AAUUGUUUUGAUUUCCUGAGGCUGUGCGAAGGUAGCAUAAUGAUUUGUCUCAUAAUUGGAGAAUGGAAUGAAUGGUUUGACUAAGGUGUAACUGUCUCUUAUAUAAUUACUAAAAAUUUAUCUUUAAGUUAAAAAGCUUAAAUUAAAUUAAAAGACGAGAAGACCCUAUUGAGCUUUAUAAUGCUUAUGCUAAUAGUUAUAUCUAUGUAAAAAAAUAAUCUCUUGGCAUAAAAUUUUUAGUUGGGGCGACUUGGGAACAAAUAAAGCUUCCUAAAUAGUUAGUUAGAGGUAUCUAAUAAUCCAAAAAUUUUGAAAUCAAAACAAGCUACCAUAGGGAUAACAGCGCUAUUUUUUUUGAGAGCUCUAAUCGAAAAAAAAGAUUGCGACCUCGAUGUUGGAUUAGGAUAUAAUAAAGGUUGCAAAAGCUUUUAUGUUUAGUCUGUUCGACUACUAAAAUCCUACGUGAUCUGAGUU
rnacentral:rRNA from 1 species